rnacentral:rRNA from 1 species
ACCCGCUGAACUUAAGCAUAUCAAUAAGCGGAGGAAAAGAAACUAACAAGGAUUCCCCUAGUAACGGCGAGUGAAGUGGGAAAAGCUCAACUUUGAAAUCUGGUACUUUCAGUAUCCGAAUUGUAGUCUCAAGAAGUGUUUUCUGUGCUGGCCCGUGUAUGAGUCUGUUGGAACACAGCGUCAUAGAGGGUGACAACCCCGUUCAUGACACGGACCCCAGUGCUUUGUGAUACACUCUCGAAGAGUCGAGUUGUUUGGGAAUGCAGCUCAAAUUGGGUGGUAAAUUCCAUCUAAAGCUAAAUAUUGGCGAGAGACCGAUAGCAAACAAGUACCGUGAGGGAAAGAUGAAAAGCACUUUGGAAAGAGAGUUAACAGUACGUGAAAUUGUUGAAAGGGAAACGAUUGAAGUCAGACGUGCGUGAUGCGGUUCAGCUCUGGUUCGCCAGAGUGUACUCCGUAUCUUUGCAGGCCAACAUCGGUUUUGUUAGUCGGAUAAAGGUUUGAGAAAUGUGGCACCUUCGGGUGUGUUAUAGUCUCAGACUGAAUACGAUUGAUGGGACCGAGGAACGCAGCGCGCCGCAAGGCAAAGGUUCCGACCUUUUCGCGCUUAGGAUGUUGGUGAAAUGGCUUU